GGGGUAGUGACAGGGGAUAGGGGGGGCAGAAGGACAGUGGCAGGAGUUAGGGGGCGGAGGGGCAGUCACAGGGUGGGGGUGGAGGGGCAGUGCCCCUCCACCCCCUUCUACCCCAUCACUCACUGCCCCUCCACCCCUUGUCACUCACUGCCCCUCCACCCCCCUUCUACCCCACAUCACUCACUGCCCCUCCACUCCUGUUCUACCCCUGUCACUCACUGCCCCUCCACCCCCCUUCUACCUCUGUCACUUACUGCCCC